rnacentral:lncRNA from 1 species
ACUUGGGAGGGUGGUCAGUAUGCUGGUGAUGAAGCAAGUCGACUGGAUGCACUUCGAUUAGCAAUGAAGUUGGGAGCUGAUUAUAUUGAUGUUGAGCUAAAGGUAUUGAUUCUAAACAAAAAUGGCCCUUCCCACCUUAUCCUAGAAAUAAAAUAAAAUAUAAAAUGAUGACCUUUCCCUGAGUAGCUGCUGCUAAUUGUUCUCAAAUGAAUUUCAGUUAAAGCAUAAGAAUAAGAGCCCGUUUGGCCAAGCUGCCAAAAGGUGCUUAUUUUGAGAAGUGUUUUUGUUCAAAAGUGCUUUUUGGAAAAGUACUUGUGUAAAAUUACAGUUUGUGUUUGGCUAAUUCGUUUAAAUAGUGCUUUUUGCAAUCUCAUUGUGUUUGGCCAAUCUUUUCAAAAAGUACUUUUAAGUAUCAAAUUACGAAAAAGGAUAGUGAAGGUUCAAUUUGCAUUUAGUAUUAUUUAAAAAAGAAAAAUAAAUUUAAACAUUUAUUAUAAAAGAAUUCUAAAGUAAAAAUAUAAACUAAAAAUUUCAAUCAAUAUAAAAUAUAGUUAUUACAAAGCAAUAACAUUGACUAUUUGGUAUUACCUACGGUUUACAUGAUAAUUUAAAUAUGUCAAAAUAUAUAAUUCAAUAUAAAUUUAAAUUCUACUCUUAGGAAUAGGAGAAAGAGAAUAAAAAUAUGUUUAAAACUAAAAAGAGAAGAAAUGUAUAGUAGAAAUAAAAAGGAAAAGGAAACGAAAAUUAUUAAAAUAAUGAGGGAUAAUUUGAAAAAUAUAUAUUUAUUGUAAGGAUAUUUUUGUCUUGAAUAAAUUAAUUUUUUGCUUCUUCUUCUUGGAAGAAGUUAGAAUUUGUAGCUUCUCCCCAAAAACAGAAAAACUGCUUCUGCUGCUGCUCAAAAGUACGUUUUCAUCUUGGCCAAACACCUUAAAUUUUUCAAAAAAGUACUUUUUUGACAAAAAAAAAAGUACUUUUGGCCUCCUAGAAGUUUGGCCAAACAGGCUCAAAGAAUGCAAGGCCAAUCAAUCUGGUUACCUGAGUUCAUAUCUCCAGAAAGUUGACUUAAAUAGAAAUUUUGAAGCAUCUUAAUAGGUGUAUUAACUUGCCAGUUUUGUAUUGAGACUUUGAACGUGACUUUGUUGAAAUGUAUGGCCUGUGAUGCUUCUUGCAGCAUGAAGGAGCAUUGAUCAAUUUUGCAAACGAAGGAUCACUUCCUGUUGGUUAUUCCAUAUAAAUGUUAAAUAUAUGAUAUCUACAUCUUUGCUAGCUUUAGAUCGACAUUCUUUAUAGUUUGAGUCUUCAUUUCUUCUUCCUUUUUGCUUUGACGGACACUUGAUCAAUAAAUAAUAGUUGCUGCUUUCCUUAUGCUUUUUGUUUCUUUUUCUCCCACUCCUUUAGGCUAUUGACGAGUUCAAUACUGCUCUACAUGGAAAUAAGUCAGCAAAAUGCAAAGUUAUUGUUUCUUCUCACAACUAUGAUAAUACACCAUCAUCUGAGGAGCUCGGCAAUCUAGUAGCAAGAAUACAGGCAUCUGGAGCUGACAUUGUGAAGUUUGCAACAACUGCACUGGAUAUCACCGAUGUUGCACGUGUAUUCCAAAUUACUGUACAUUCUCAAGUAAGCGGCGUAAGUAGUAUAGCAAGUUUUUCAAGCCAUAACUUGCUUUCAAAUUUGUUUGGUGAUAAAUCAUGGUUUCUCCUGAGCUGGAUUUGGUGCGUGAUAAUAAUAGCUUGAAUCUAGAAGCAGGUUGCCUCUUGUAGAUUUGUAGUAGGCCAUACACACCAAUAAGUUAGGUAUAGUUGGAUAAACUUCUGAUCGGGUAUACAUUAAUAACCUAGAUAUAUGUAAGGGUAAUAAGAGGGACAAAGACAAUGAGAAUAGCUUCCAAAAUUAACUGUUUUUCUUUCCCUCACCUUCUCUCUCCCCGAAAAAGGUGGGGGUUUGUUAAAUCUUAAUUAUCUGAUGAUAUUUCCCAUUGCAAGAAGAACUCAAAGGUAGAUAGUAGAAUCAAUAUUGUUGUAUGUAUCAAUGCCUUUGAGACAUUUUCUCAAGUGAAUGACAUCUGAUAUCACUUGUCAAUUAAGGGGCCUUUUGGUAUGUCAAGUGAUGAGGUUGUACUAUAUGCUUUUGGGCUGAAAUAAGGUGAUUUGUGGAUGAUAGAUUAUAACAUCAUUGGAUUCUAGUGAAGGGCUGAUGGAUUCUUAUUUGGUGAGACCCAAUAGGAUGGACCGCUGUAGGGAUUUAAUAUUGUGAGACUGACACUCAACCUUGUAUGUUCUAUUGAAUAUAAAAAUAAUCCCUUCAGUUGGAAAUAAUUCUAUUUAAUUUUCAAAUAUUCCAUUAAUAUAUUUUUGGACUAAGGAAGUUGGAAGUGGGGUAUAAGAGAGGCGGAUGACCAUUGAUUGUGGAAGAUGGUCCAUUUUGCAAAUUAACCAGGCAUGAAGGAAAAAUUGAAUUGGAGGAAGGAGUCACUGGAUGGGGCGCUUGGUGGACGAGAAAGGGUUAAAGGAAACAUUUAUUCAACAUCUGGAGCUUUUUUUUUGGGUGGGGUGGGGUGGGGGUGGGGGGUGGGGGGAGCAGUUGGGAUGGCAAUAAAGCAAUAGGUAAAAGGAUUUAUGCCUUGUCAAGAGGCUGCAUUCAAGGGGUUGUUUGAGAAGUAAUCCUCUAGAUAAGCCACAAGGAAAAGGAGGUGCACCAAGCAGGGGCCACUAGUCCACCCUCCAAUUUGGUGCAGAAAAUUACAAGAACCUAGGUUCAGGUAUAUAUGCGCACUCCAGGAACCUAACUGCCCGAUAAAGAUAAAAAGAUAUCUUUAUCAUUUUUUUGAAGUUCCUAGAUUUUGAGCCUGGAUCUAUAAAGAUAUGCACAUGAAAAAUAGGUUAAAAUGAUUAUUAGUAUUACACAUGUGUAACUCAUCAUGCACCCAGUGGUGUGGCCUCAUGGCCAAUGAAGUGUGUACAUACCUUAGAGACCAGAGUUCAAAUCCCACUGGGUCACCACAAACUCUAGGUUUCUAGCCAUCUUUCAGAGCCUUGCUGGACAAAGUCACUCGGUACUUGUGCUGGUGGAAGGUAGUACGUACCAGCUGGAGUAGUCGAGGUCCGUACAAGUUGGCCCGAUCACCCCGUUUUUAAAAAGAAAAGAAUUGUGUAACUCAUCAUGAAAUGGACGCAAUCACUGUCCAGCUUCAAGGCUUGGUUUAGCAAUUCAUAGUGUAUGAUUGGGUUAAAUGACCAAAUAUGCAAAAGUCAUCCUACUACAUCAUACUUUGCGAUGUUUUUCAUUUGAAUGAUAUUGUGGUGGCAAGCUAGUCUUCUUUGACCCCCAAAUGGAUAAAGUGGGAUCUAGUUCAGAACUAAAGAAGAUUGAAAAGCUUAGAUUUUAGAUACUUGGCUGCAUUUGAUCUAAUUUAUUUCUUGAAUUCCUGGAAAAUCAUAAAUUUAGACUUUCAAACCAAUUGAUGGAAUGCAAUAACUAAAACUACAAGUUGGACCUCCUUUGUUUUUCCAUAUUUUGGAAUAUAAGAAUGAAAUCAGCAUACAUUAGUUUCUCCAAUCAUAAGCUGGUUGUCAUCAUGGUUGAAGUUCGUUUUUUUCCUGCUCCCACUAUAAUAUUUUUCACAUGCAUAAAUGCAGAAAUGUAUUUAUUUGUUAUUUAGGUUUUGUUAUGCGUAAUAUAUUUGUCCCCCAUCUCCUUGAGCCUCUGUUUUUUUUUUUUUUGAGUUUGCUGCUUGACUAUGAGCUUGCUUGCAUUUUGAGAUGCUUCUCGUGAUUAAACAUCAAUGCAUUUCUUGCACUUUGUUCAAAUAGGUACCAAUAAUAGCCAUGGUCAUGGGAGAGAAGGGUUUGAUGUCUCGAAUACUUUGUCCAAAAUUUGGUGGAUACCUCACAUUUGGUACUCUUGAAGUAGGAAAAGUUUCGGCUCCUGGGCAACCAACAAUUGAAGAUCUUUUGAGUAUAUACAAUUUCAGACAGUUGGGACCAGAUACCAGAAUAUUUGGCAUUAUCGGGAAGCCUGUUAGCCAUAGCAAAUCACCUUUAUUGUAUAAUGAAGCUUUCAGAUCAGUUGGGUUUAAUGGUAUUUAUAUGCCUUUGCUGGUAGAUGAUGUUGCAAAUUUCUUUCGGACUUACUCAUCUUUAGAUUUUGCUGGCUUCAGGUUUGCUCUCAAAACAGAAACUGGUAGUUUAUACCAUUGUCUUUUAGUUUCAUCAGGGUAGUCAUGCCAAAUUCCCCCCUUUCUCACAGCUUAGAAAGUAUCAUGUACAUCUACAUGUAUAUACCAUAUCUCAUGGGGUUGAAUGUACGUACUGGAUUUUUCUUUUAUGUUUUGCUUUCUGUUUGUUUUUGUUUUUCAUGGGUCAUCCUUGUUGUGUUCUUCCAAAUUUUUGUGUGUGUCGUCCAUGCCUAAUAAAUAUAAUUCAUAUGCAUGUUUAGAAGUAGUUAUGCAACUUUAUGUUGUGCAGCUGUACAAUUCCUCACAAGGAAGCCAUUGUCGACUGCUGCGAUGAAGUUAAUCCUACCGCUAAGGUAUUAGUUAUAUCAUGAUUUUAUAAUGCUUUUCAGCUGUUGUUUUUUUAUUUGUUUUGUAUUUUUACAGGGAUCAAUAUUGCAAAAUAUUUUGAUGAUUUGUUAUAUCACAUGCAAUUACUUGGUUUCUUAAUUAUCCUGCAGUUGAUAGGGGCUGUCAAUUGUGUCGUAAGGCGACCUGAUGGGAAGUUGUUUGGUUGCAAUACAGACUAUGUGGGUGCAAUCUCCGCCAUUGAAGAGGCGUUGCAAGGUCAGAAUCAUUUUAUCCACUGCAAACAUCCUUUUCUGAAGUUAGAGCUUCUUAAUGUUUGAGCUUUGUUAUUUCGUUGUACAGGCUCACAACCUAUUAUGUCUGGGUCACCCUUAGCUCGUAAAUUGUUUGUGGUCAUUGGUGCUGGUGGCGCUGGCAAGGCACUUGCUUAUGGUGCAAAGGAAAAGGGGGCUCGGGUGGUGAUUGCUAACCGUACCUAUGGUAGUGAAAUUCCGUGUAGCUAAUGACAAUUGCUGAAAUUCUUAUUAUCAUUGCUUAGUCACUUUACUCUGGUAUUGAUUUGGAGGUUGACUAUGUUACUUUGUACUGAUGUGCUGUCAUAUUACUUGAAGAACGGGCGAGAGAACUUGCUGAUGUAGUUGGAGGUCAGGCUCUGUCUCUUGACGAGCUUAGCAAUUUCCAUCCAGAAAAUGACAUGAUUCUUGCAAAUACCACCUCCAUUGGCAUGCAACCAAAGGUUGAUGAUACACCAAUCUCUAAGGUUUGCCUCCUUGCAUUAGUUUUCUUAGAUUAAACAACUUGUUACUGAAUCCGUGUCUUAUUAGUUGAAGAGCUGCAUGGUUAAUAUCAUGCACAGUAAAUGGGUAAACAAAGAGGGUUCAGUAUUAAAAAUACAAGCUUUAUAAAUUAGAAUGGGACGGAGUAUUUUAAUUUCAUUUUGUUUGGGGGGGUCGGUGAGAUCCCUUUUUUUCUUGGAAACUUUUUACCUCAAUUAGCUCAUACCCAGCAUUCGUGAAUUGCUUCUCUGUAUUUUUCUGUUUUCUCAGAGGGCUCAAUAUUGGAAAUACAUGCUUUACCAAUUUGAAUGGGAGCGGAGCUUUUGUUUUUUCUUUUGCUUGGAAAAACAUUUUUCCGUCUAUUACCUUCAUAUCCAGCAUUCAACAAUUACUUCUCUACAUUACACUGUUUUAAUAUAGGAUAAAGAUCUAACCAUAAACCUGAAGUAUCUUUGUAACGAAUUCUAUGUUCGGUAACUAUAUUUAUUGCUCAUCUCUUUCUCACAAAAGUAGCAAAAGAUAUAUGGGUUGUUCUUUGGUUUUGAUCAUAAAGAAAUUAUGAAGUUUGGGGAAAGUGUAUAUAUGUUCCGGACCAUAAUGUGUAUGUAAUCCUAAUUCCUAUAUAGAUAGAUAUCAACCUUCUUUAAGUUAAAGAACCCAAUUGUAGGGCCUUUCAUAACCUUACAAACCUGUCUAGUCAACAGAUGACGUCUCUAAAUAUAUACCUUUAUUGGCCUUAUGGAAAAGGGUCAAAACUACCUCUAUCAUUUGUAAAUGGUUUAAAAUUACCCUCCGUCCGCCUUUUGGUCCAUAAACACACAUAACGUUAUCUUUGGGCUUAAAUUUACCCCUCCCGCUAAUGGCACAAUAUCGAAAACACAGCCAACGCAUUAAAAAUGGAGCCCACAUAUUUUGCCGUUAGUGGGAGGGUAAAUUUAAGCCCAAAGAUAACAUUGUGUGUGUUUAUGGACCAAAAGGUGGACGGAAGGUAAUUUUAAACCGUUUACCAAAUGAUAGGGGUAGUUUUGACCAUAUUCUGUUGUCCUUAUGAAAAAUUAUAUACCUUGUUGUCAUGGCUCACAAUCUCAAACUUCCUCCUCUAUUCUUUGGUGCUUCGAGGAAUGGCAUGCCAUGAGUGGUUUAAACGGAAGUUCUAGGCUAUGUAAGGAGUAUUUUGGUGAUUUGUUCCAUUGGAAGAAUAACGGGAUAAAACAGAUAAGACCUGUUCUGUCAGAAAAGGAAGUGGUUGUAAGAAACCACUUCAAGAUCAUGGUCUGCUGCUUUCAAUCUGAACUUUACUCGGUGUUAAGUGCUUCUAAUGCUGCUACUGUUGAGAUAGGGUGUUGUUGACGGGUUUGAUAUAAGAUGUGGGCUGAUAACUGGCAUUUCAGAUGCAGCAAAUAAUUUUAUGCUUUAUUUCUACAAGGCAGACAAAAUGCAUGCUUAAGUUUGACAUUUCUGUGGGUCAGAAAGAACUAACUUCGGUCCUGAGGAAGCUGGAUGCACUAUUUUCAGCAGAAUAGCCCAUGAAAUGGAUAGAACAUAUAGCGGGGGCAGAGCAUUUGUGGCUAAAAGAAUAAAUCUCCAUGUUGCUAGGUCUUUGCAGCCAAUAACAUAAAGACUAGUAUGCUGUUAGGCUGUUAGCCAAUCUUCUUAACCAAUACAUGCACGCACACAAACACGCAUUGUCGUCCAAUCUUGAUUCA